rnacentral:antisense_RNA from 1 species
ACAGACAAAUAAGACGUUACAGCCUUACAGGCUGGCUUUUGAGGGGUGGGAGAGGAAGAAAACCAAAUACUCUCGCUGGAUAAAAACGUAAACCACAGGAGACACCUGGACUUGAAGCAGGAACCUCUUGACGUGUAGGCAGAGGCUCUUCCACCAAGCUAUACCCUCUACAGUGGCAGGCUCCUCUCAUUAGCGCCUUUCAAGGCUGCAGUCCCACGCCUCUUCUGAUCUCUGGCUGUUCCUGGGCUCUCACUUUCGGGGAACUGGUGCUGGCAACACGGUUCCUCGCCCCACCGCCACGACUCACUCACGGAUUCACUCCUACACGUCACCAGCAUCACCCUCCUGCCCAGGCCCGGGACACUGGCCAGGGAGCUCAAGGCCUCGUCCUGCCUCCUCUGGGAUCUAGUAGGACUGCAAGAAGAACCUGUCCGGGACACCCGUUCUCCUCCCUUCCCUCACUGGCCUGACCGUCUUCUCUCUGCAGUUGCUGUUGUCCUGCUGUUAGCACUCCCUGCCCCUCCUCUACUCGGAUUCUUAUUCCCUGAUUCCCAUACUGAAAAUCGUGGGACUUGCCAGCCUCCAUAAUUUCAUGAAUCAACUCCUUAAAAUUAAUCUCCAUAUAGAUAGAUGAUAGAUAGACAGAUAGAUGAUAGAGCUAUCUUUCUCUGUCUACCGAUACAGAUCUAUCUAUCUGUAUCAAUCAAUCUAUGUCUAUCUAUCUAUCUAUCCAUAUAUCCACCCACAUCCUAUUGGUCCUGUUUCUCUGAAGAACCCUGACUACGAUACCAGCUAAACCCCUGUUCAAUAACAAUGAAAAGAUGAGAACCUUUCAUUGAUAAAAACUGAGAGAAUUUGCCAUCAGCAAACUCUCACUAAAGUAAAUUUUAUUGUCUUUUGAGACAGGAUCUCACUCUGUUGCUCAGGCUAGAGUGCAGUGGCAUUAUCGUGGCUCACUGCAGCCUUGACCUCCCAGUGGGGAGGUCCUUAAGAGAUCCUCCCACCUCAGCCUCUCAAGUAGCUGGGACUACAAGGGUGUGUCAUCAUGCCCAGCUAAUUUUUUCUUUCUUUCUUUUUCUUUUUUUUUUUUUUUGGUAUUUUUUGUAGAGACAGUUUCACCAUGUUGUCCAGACUGGUCUCAAACUCCUGGGCUCAAGUGAUCCUCCUGCCUCAGUCAACCAAAGUGCUAGGAUUAUAUGCGUGAGCCACUGUGCCCGAUCUAAAGUAAGUUUUAAAGGAUAUUUUUUCAGGAAGAAGACAACUGUAUACAGAAGGAAUGAAUGAUAGGAAAUAAGAGAAUUAGAAAAGAAAUUUAAGAAUCUGGCUAAUGUAACAAACAUUAAUUGAGCAGAAGACUAAUAAUACAAUAAUUAUUAAUUUAUUUUUAAAUUGAUAAUCAUGCAGGUAUUUGGGCAUUAACAAAACAAGGUGAAGCCAAAUACUUGCUUUAACAAUAAAUUGACCAGGUGCAGUGGCUCACGCCUGUAAUCCCAGCACUUUGGGAGGCCAAGACGGGUGGAUCACUUGAGGUCAGGAGUUCGAGACCAGCCUGGCCACUAUGGCGAAACCCUGUCUCUAUCAAAAAUGCAAAAUUAGAUGGGCGUGGUGGCGGGCGCCUGUUAUCUCAGCUACUUAGAAGGCUGAGGCAUGAGAAUCACUUGAACCUGGGAGGCAGAGGUUGCAGUGAACCAAGAUUGUGCCAUUGCACUCCAGCCUAGACAAAAAAAGCAAAACUUCGUCUCAAAAAACAAAAACAAAAACAAUAAUGAAUGCACAUUUUUCAAGCACAAAUAGAACAUUUAUAGAAAUUGACCAUAUUACAAGUCUAAUUUUAGCACAUUAUAAAGAAUUAGUAUAAUACAAACCUCAUUCUCUGACAAAAUGUAGUAAAGGCAGAAAUUUGUAACAAAUAACUUCUAAAUAAUCAUGUAUGCUUUGACAACAGUUGAAAGACUUCUGAAUUAACCAUGGGUCAAAGAAAAAAUUGCAAUGAAAAAUGAAAAUACCUGGAAGCAAACAAUAAUAAAUGUUAUCAUCAAAACCUGUGAAAUGGCUCCAGAGAGGGACGUCCCCAGGAUUGACCCCUAAAAGUGAAAAUGGAGCUCAGCAGAGUGGCUCACAACAGUGAUUCUCAACAGUAACUCCAUCUCCAGUGCUUCCGACAGGCUCUCUCCCUCUCCUUCCCCACCGAGGUACAUGCUGGGUUACAGCAGUCAAUCUCCUCCUUACUGGAGUGCUAAUAAUUGGCUUCAGAAAGGCGUCCAGAAACCCUGGACUGGCAGAACCUCAAUGCGGUUGAAGGUAUGGAGCCUGGGCCUCAGAUUUGCAGCACCAGACCCCUGCACUUGUAGAUGCAACCUAAUUUGACCAGGUUCUCAAGGUGGCCCUAAUUAGACUCUCAAAGACUGAUACAUAAUAAGCCAGAAUGUUCUUCAGGUUACCUGGGAAACUAAGAGCCAUCAGAAGGUUGCUUAGUGAGGCUGCAAUCAGAGCAAAUGGAAUUGAAAGCUCUUGAGGGGAUUUUCUCAGGUCAUAGAAAAUUAUCAUGAGUGAUUCUUGUUCCGAAGUAUUGUCCCCUCUCUAGAGGCCAAAAUCUCACAUCCACGGAACUGAGACCCUCAGUGACUCCUUGCUCAUCCUUGGCGGGUCACUGAGUCCUGUCAUUCAGUCCGCUGGACCUGGACACCCAUCGUCACUGCUAGUGUCUUGGCUCUGUGAUCUACUAUGUGUGUCCAAAUCUCAGUCCACAAAUUGAGGAGUAGAGGACUGUGACUUUACUCUUUUACAGAACAACUUGAUUUCUAUUUUGUGUCCUGUCCUGCUGGGUGACAGAAAUUUAAUGACUCAACUAUAAAUCCCCCCAAUAUUUCCCCCGUGUUGCCCCUAAAUUCGGCAGUGGCUUUAGGAGUGCCACAGCACUGGAGGUGGGGUUAGGGGUUUGCUUCUUCACAUCAUCUUGACCACAUGUGAGUGUGGGAUAGUCUGGUUUCCUGCUGCCUCGGGGUCCUUGCUGUUCCCCACUGUGCCUUCUCCUGCCAGCCUUGCCCAUAUGGCUCUGCCAUGCGGGGACAGUGCUACUUCUGUGCCAAUCUUUAUUGCCUGAGUCCCCCAGCACCCAGACUGCUGAAAUUAAAAGAUGAGCACCAACAA